UUAUAAUUUAUUUAUUGUUUAAUUAUUUAUUUAUUAUUUAAUUUUAUUAAAAUUAAUUUUAAUUUUUAUUGUUUUAGUAUUGAAUAAAGAAAUAAUAGGUUUAAUUAUAGUGAAUUAGUAUUGUGAAAGAAAAUUGAAAUAAUUUGAAAAAUUUUUAUUGUUAAAGAAAAUUUAAUUUAUUGUACCUUGUGUAUCAGGGUUUAUUAAUUAAAUUUUAAUUAAAUUAAUUUUCUCGAUUUUAAAAGAGUUAAUAUAUUAUUUAAGUUAGUGUAAUAAAUUUAUUUAUAAUAAUAUAUUGGAAAUGAAAUGUUAUUCGUUUUUAAAGGUAUCUAGUUUUUUAAGAAAUAAAUUUAAUUUAGAAAUUUUAUAUUAUUUAAUUAUUUGUAUUAAUUAGGUGAUUGUUUAAUUUUAAUAUUUUAAGGGAUAAGCUUUAAAAUAAAUUAUUAAAAAUUUAUUAUUGUAGUAGUAAAUAUAGGCUUAAAAAUAGCCAUUAUUAAAGAAUUUGUUAAAAUUUAUAUUUUAGAUUAUAUUAUUUAUUAAAUUUUAAUUUUUUAUUAAAAUAUUUAUUUUAAUUAAAUAUGUGAAUUAAUAAUGAUAAAAUUAGUAUAUAAUUUUGUAUUGAUAAAUUAAUUUGAUAAGUUUUAAUAAGGAAUUCGGCAAAAAUUUUAUUCGCCUGUUUAACAAAAACAUGUCCUUUAGUUUUUUAUUUAAGGUCUGACCUGCCCACUGAUUAAUUAAAUGGCCGCAGUAUUUUAACUGUGCAAAGGUAGCAUAAUCAUUAGUCUUUUAAUUGGAGGCUGGAAUGAAUGGUUGGACGAAAUAUUAACUGUUUCGUUUUAAUUUUUUAUAGAAUUUUAUUUUUUAGUUAAAAAGCUAAAAUUUAUUUAAAAGACGAGAAGACCCUAUAAAUCUUUAUAUUUUUGUGAAAAAUAAAUUUUUAGGUGAUUUUAUUUUUUUUUUGUUAAUAAUAUUUUAUUGGGGUGAUAUUAAAAUUUAAUAAACUUUUAAUUAAAUUUUCAUUUAUUUAUGAGUGUAUGAUCCAUUAUUAGUGAAUAUUAAAAUAAGUUACUUUAGGGAUAACAGCGUAAUUUUUUUGGAGAGUUCUUAUCGAUAAAAAAGAUUGCGACCUCGAUGUUGGAUUAAGAAAUAUAUUUGGGUGUAGAAGUUCAAAUUAUAAGUCUGUUCGACUUUUAAAUUCUUACAUGAUCUGAGUUCAGACCGGCGUAAGCCAGGUUGGUUUCUAUCUUUAAUUAUUUUUAAUAUUUUAGUACGAAAGGACCAAAUAUUUAAUAAAUUUAUAUUUAUUUAUUGAGUAAAAUUAAUGCUA
rnacentral:rRNA from 1 species